CAAACUAGGGGAAGAUUUUGGGUUACCAACCCCUAUAUCCCAAAAUCCUCCCUCUAUUCCUAAUGUACUUAGAGGUAUGGACAAAGAAGGAAAUACAAAGGCCUCUAAGAUCACAGGUAUUGAAUCAAUGCUCCCAUUACCCCUCACUCCUUUAGACAAUUGUUUAACUGUUGUGGAAGUUGUUGGAGUGUUGGAUGGAGAGUUGGAGGAGAACAUCACUAACUUGCAGGAAGGGGUAUCCUUUAUAUCAAGUAAUUGCAGCUAAUGUAAUGGGAAGGUAUCUAUCCAAGAGGUCACCUAUAUUUCAAAUUUCUUGCACAUUUUGUUGUGCAUUUUCCACAUGAUCACUCUAGGCUGCAGUGGAUAACUUUUUAUGCUGAGUAAUUAUCUACCUAUGAUAAGUGGUCAUUGGGUUGGUCUCGCAAGAAAAACAACCCCUAUUUGAAAUUCCAUUUAUCGAAUACAAAGUUUCAUUUGCAAUACAGAACUCUGCAUUACUUAUGUAUCUCUACAUAAUAAGUACAAUGUUUGUUUUCAGGUGUAGAACUCUCCGAAACUUUUGCUUCACUUGGUUUCUGAUAUGAACUCCAUAUACUAAUACAUGCAUAAUUUAUGCAGAAAUGUAUGCAGUAUUAUUUUUAUGUGGGAUAUAAUGUGGAAUAAUAAUAUACAUUAGUCUUUCAAGGAUACAAGUAUCUAAAAGACAAAAAUAUCCUUAAAGUAAGCAAUCACUGCAAUCUGCUUAAGCUUGACAGUAUCUGUUUUAUUAUUUACUAGAUUCUCUACAUUAUAAUCACUGUAUAACAAUUCAUGUAUUGACUGUUACCUUCUCAAAAAAAAAAAACAAUUCAUGUAGUACAAACCUUUGUUUAAUUAGUUCAUUAACCAGACAAACCCUAAGAGUUUCAAGGGUGGACAUAAUAACCUGAAGAAACUACCAAUAUAUACAUGCUCCAAUCACCUAAAUGAUCUAUAUGAGUAAGAUAUUGGAUUUUGAUGGUGAAUUUGAAAAUCAGUGUGAAAUUCUAAAUACUUAAUGACUGUACUUCCCAGAAGAAAGUAUCUUUUCUUGACUGCAUCAUUAGCUUCCGUUCUGUGGUCAGAAAUCCUUUGGAAGAACCUCAAGGCAUGGCAGAUUUGGAAGGUCAUGCUUCUCAACACCAUCCUAGUAACUGGGUAGAAGCAGAUGACGAUGAUGAUGAAGGAGAUGAGUCAGAGUUGUGUGUUCAAUCAACUCCUCCAUAUCAUUAGGAAUACAACAGCUCAAUCUGUUGUAUAAUCCUAACAAGUAGUUUGUUAUUGAUGAAUUUUGCUGUAAGUAUGUACAAUUACCCUACCAAUGCUCCACUUGUCUACUUUGCACUUGGUUUCUUCUUACCUAAUCAGUUCUCUAUAGGUAAUUCAUGUUUACCAUGAAA